ACCGAAAGGGAGGGGUGGCCGCCCGGGACGGCCCCCUGCUUCAGGCUCUCUCUUUGCGGUCAGCGUUUCAUCCAGGUUAUCCAUCCAGCGAGUGACGCCAAGUCCUUGCACGCUACUGGGUUUGGAAAAAAACAAAAAAUGAGCAAGCGAGACGCCCCUUCCGUUUUAUGAUCACCAAGCUGCAAGCAAAUAAAUCGGCUGGUCCCACUGCAAUCUUCUGCACUCGAGUGCCAAGAGAGCCUGUUCCUAUGAAUUACUGAAGUCAUAAAGAAAAAAAUUUUUAAAUUAAAACUUUACCAUAAUGAGAGAGUUGUAAGCUCUUAAAAAAUGGCCAGUGGACUACAGUGGAUUACAAAGACUAACAGAAACAGCCCUCAAGCUACUGUCAGACUCCAAAAGGAGCUGGAGGUGCAAACAUCAAUGGUCGGAAUACCGGGAAACCAAGUCUCACAGUACUGUGUUGCCAGUUUCCGGGAGCACUGAGGAUGGAGGGUGGCGAGAGAAACAUCCCGAGCGAGCGGAGGGGAUGCUUGAAAAAGACUGGGGAGGGGGAAAGAGGAGGAAAGGGAAUAGGAGGGUCCCAGGCGGAGAGAGGGAAGGGCUUUGUGCUGGAGAAGAGAGCAAGUACCGUCACAGGGAGCCCUGCAGGUCCCGGAAGAGGAAAGUCCUUUCGGAAUUGGGUACCACAUGCGCCUUUGGCUCUGUCUGAACAGUGUUUGUUAUUUACGUCCUGGAACCCUGGCCAGAAACUGCGCAGCAGGUGCGUGGGCACAAGGUUGCCUCUUCUGACUCUUGCAUCUUCAUUGAAGAGAGGCCCAGAUGCAGAAUUAUCCCGUUUCCACCCUGGAAUGUUUUAAAUCUCAUGGCAGCUGAGGGCGUCUUUCUGAGCAUCUAUAAUACUACAAUCAUCAGUUUGGAGGCAAGCCCAUAUUUUAGCUAAUGAGCCAGAGGAGAAGACAGUUCUGUACAAUAUGAGGCAGAUCUGGUAGUGAAAUGGCAGAAUGGUUAUUAUUCUUCCACCAUCUGUGGCAUUAAAAUGAAAAUGACAGCUUCUCAGUGUUUGACGUGACGCUGCUCAUUGCUUUUCUACCUUAUGAGUCAGAGGACAUAACUAAUCUUUGUUCAUGCUAUGCUCUGGCUAUUUGUUUUCAGCUUUUGUCCAGAUAAUUAUUGCUUUUCCUUCUGUAAGAACUAGCCUGGAGAAAAGAAUUCUUCAUUCAACAGUGGUCCUUCUAAGGAACUUUGAUAGAUGAUGUAGUAAGUAGCUGAAAAGCAGGUGUUUGAAAAUUCAAAGUGCCUAGUCCCUUUAAAAACAUGCAGGCAUUAGAGAAUUUGCAACUGUUGCUUCAUUGUAUUAUUUGCUUUCCUACUCUGUCUUAUGUCCACAUUUUAGAAAAUUCCUUAAAACGUCAAAUAAAUUGCUUUUCCAAAAGCUACCUCAAUUCUCAGAUAUUUAAAAAUUCUGAUAGAGUGACCCAGCCAUUCCACUCCUAGGUAUAUACCCAAGUGAAAUGAAAACAUAUGUUUAGAUAAAAAAACUGGUACAUGAAUUUUCAUAACAGUAUCAUUUGUGAGAGCAAAAUGUGGAAGCAAGCCACAUGUCCAGCAACUAAAAUGAAAACAUGUUUAAAUAAAAAACUUGUAUGUGAAUUUUCAUAACAGUAUUUUUCGUGAGAGCAAAAUGUGGAGGCAACCCACAUGUCCAGCAACUGAUGAACAGAUAAAUAAAAUGUGGUGUAGCUGUACAAUAGAAUGUUAUUUAGCAAUUAAAGAAAAGAAUGAGGUGCUGAUAUAUAUAUUCUAUGACAUGGAUGAAUCUUGAAGACAUUGUGCUAAGUGAAAGAAGCCAGACACAAAAGCCACAUAAUGUGUGAUUUCAUUUCUGUGAAAUGUUCAGAAUAGGCAAAUCUAUGGAGACGGAGAGAAGAUUAGUGUUUGCUGAACACUGGGGUGGAAAGUGAGAAGAAACGGGAAUGAGGAAGCCACUGCUAAUGAAUAGGUCUGAGGUUUCUUUCUAGAGUGUUAAAAAUGUUGUAAAAUUAGAUUUGGUUGCACAAUUCAGUAAAUACGCUAAAAGCUACUGAGUUGUAUACUUUAAAUGGGUGAAAUUUAUGCUAUGUGAAAUAAAUCUUAAUAA
rnacentral:lncRNA from 1 species